CCGAGGACGAGCACACAGCCAGCUCUCUCGGGCCUCCUCUCAGUGAAGGGAAAAAAAGACAUUAAAAUCAUCAGUGGAUUUAGCUGUGUCCAAUGUGAACAGGCGAGAGCAGGCCCCCUAAGUACCCACCAACUCCGCCACAACCGGACACAGGAUCCCAUGUACCACUGUUUACAUGAGACGAUGGUGCUAUAGGAACCCCACUGCUUUCCUACUCUGCUGAAAUGGACUCCUAUUGCUAACAGGUUUGCCAAAACUAAGGACACUUUUGAUUAACUGGGGUAACUUACUGUAUAUGAAAAGAUGCUACUGUAGUCCUGUAAAUGUUACCUCUGUCAAAAAUCACAUACCGAUGGUGAGUGAAUGCUCUUCACACAUAGUAUACGUUAAUCAAUUAAUGUUGCUUCAAAACCUGCUAAAUACCAUUCUCUUACUGGUUUGAAAUAUCGAUUUGUUGGCAAAAACCCCAAGGUGCCUGAUAAAAAAAUGUUCCUUUAAAAGAAAAGUAGUCAGAUGGAUUUUGAGGGUUUUGGAUCUUUUGGAUAUUCAG